rnacentral:rRNA from 1 species
CAGCAGCCGCGGUAAUACGGAGGGUGCAAGCGUUGUUCGGAAUUACUGGGCGUAAAGCGCGUGUAGGCGGUCGGGCAAGUUAGAUGUGAAAGCCUUCCGCUUAACGGAAGAAGUGCAUUUAAUACUACCCGGCUGGAGUACGGGAGAGGAGAGUGGAAUUCCCGGUGUAGAGGUGAAAUUCGUAGAUAUCGGGAGGAACACCAGUGGCGAAGGCGGCUCUCUGGUCCGAUACUGACGCUGAGACGCGAAAGCGUGUGGAGCAAACAGGAUUAGAUACCCUGGUAGUCCACGCCGUAAACGAUGGGCACUAGGUGUAGGAGGUAUUGACCCCUUCUGUGCCGAAGUUAACGCAUUAAGUGCCCCGCCUGGGGAGUACGACCGCAAGGUUAAAACUCAAAGGAAUUGACGG